CCUACGGGAGGCAGCAGUGGGGAAUAUUGCACAAUGGGCGCAAGCCUGAUGCAGCCAUGCCGCGUGUAUGAAGAAGGCCUUCGGGUUGUAAAGUACUUUCAGUCGUGAGGAAGGUGUUAAGGUUAAUAACCUUAGCAAUUGACGUUAGCGACAGAAGAAGCACCGGCUAACUCCGUGCCAGACUCCUUUGUGUGACGUGUUGUGCGAGCGUUAAUCGGAAUUACUGGGCGUAAAGGGCACGCAGGCGGUUAAUUAAGUUGGAUGUGAAAUCCCCGGGCUUAACCUGGGAAUGGCAUUCAAGACUGGUUAGCUAGAGUCUUGUAGAGGGGGGUAGAAUUCCAUGUGUAGCGGUGAAAUGCGUAGAGAUGUGGAGGAAUACCGGUGGCGAAGGCGGCCCCCUGGACAAAGACUGACGCUCAUGUGCGAAAGCGUGGGGAGCAAACAGGAUUAGAUACCCUGGUAGUC
rnacentral:rRNA from 1 species